rnacentral:lncRNA from 1 species
GAAAUUGAGUGUGAAAAAUCUGAUUCGACGUUUUGCCAUCAGCCAUCGAUCUAAAACCAGCAACCCUUGCUUCUUCACUCGAUCCCCACCACAGCAGCCAUCAGCGACCUUCUUCGUCCUCACAGCACAAAAAUGGCUUCCUACAGUCAGCUAUACUACAACCGCCCUUCACAACUCCCCCUCACCUCUGAACUCCAGCCAAAAGGGAGCAAAACCAACCAUGAAAAUAGCUUCAAAAACCAGUUGUGUAAGCUCACCGUUUUCACCAUUAAAGCACUGAAGAGUACGCAACAGUUCUCCAUCGAAACAGCCAAAACAUCAUAGCUCAAGCUCUAUUUUUUUGCAAAAGAUUACGCGGGGAAGGGUUGAGUUCGGGCUUUACGUCGAAGUCGCCGACGUUAUUUUACGGUCAGUGGUCCCAGCGUUGUUUUCCUCUAUUCGUAUUCGCGUUCAGUUCUUACUCGAAUUUUCUUGGUUUUGUGCUUAACAAGUGUAUGAUUUUUCAAUUAAGUGCUAUUAAGUUUGUUUAACAAAAGUUGAAUUUGAAAUCUUAAGAUUAAAACUUGGAUUGAAGUUGUGAUGUGCUUAAGGUCCAUAUGUGCUGAAAAUUUUGAAAAGUUUGAGUUAUAACUGAACUUGGACUAGAUCGUUUUGAGUUAACUAAUUUGAAUGAAUUCGACUAGCAUGCUUAGCUUGAUUUCUCAGUAUUGAGCUGAAAUUUGUUCUCAAUUUGUUGCUGCCGUUUGUGAAUCUCAACCCUUGAUAGAGUUUCUUAGUAGUUAAAUUGUCCUUGUAUCUGCUGAAUUCUGGUUUGAACUAUUUUGUGAGGCUGAACUUUUUAAAUUGGCUUUUUGGUUUGGAAACAAAGGAGUAGAAAAGGAACAACACCAGGGGAUGGGUGUUAUCCGCCAAGUUGUCCAAACAUAAAUGACUUGUUAUUAAAAAAAAUGCAAAUAACUGUUGUGCCUUUCAUUUGUUUUAGUUGAACAUAAGGCUUCCAUCAUAGUAUGGCACCAUAUGUCUCUAACAGUUUGGUUUGGAUUAAAAAAACGUAAAGAAUAUUUUGGAUAUUGAAUUGGACUAUGGGGAUUUGGACUUAAAAAGUCGGAUUAAUAAACAUUCGUAUUUUGCUUUAGGUACUUACUUAAAUCAUUGCAACUACGGGUACGGUUCCCGUGGCGUGGUUGUGAUACCUAAAUUAUUUAGUUGUAAAAAUGAAUAUCUGUAGUUUAACUAAUUGUUUUUUCAAGAAUAAAUUGCGGUGCGCCAUCCAAUCACCUAGUCUAUGACCCUCAUGAGCUAAUUUAGAAACCUUUUGGUUAGAAUAAAUCGAGGUGUGCCGUGCCGAACAAAAUCUCAAAAUGCAUUGCCCUCACCUAAUUAAUAUUUUAAUCCUUAGGAAUCGAGGUGUGCCAUUUAUUUGAAUUUCCAUGGCCCUCGCAAAGUUGAAAAUGCGUAGUUGAUUUAGGCGCGUAAUUUAAAAUUACCUUCCUAAACUCGGGUGUCCAUUUCAUGUGACCCAAAUCUAAAUCUUAACAACGUUAAAUAAAAUGUAUCUCGGACCGCGGGUGCAUUUAUGUGACGUUGUUCAAGACGUGUUUUAGAUGACGUUGAAUCUUUUCUAAAAAUAAUAAAUAAAAGCGGUUUUAAAGUUAAAAUUGCACCAUACUCUAAAACAUGUACUAAAAUCAAGUAAAUAGGCCAAUUAUAACAAUUGAGCGACCGUGCUAGAACCACGGAACUCGGGAAUGCCUAGUACCUUCUCCCGGGUUAACAAAAUUCAUUACCCGGAUUUCUGUGUUCGCGGACUAUAAUACAGAGUCAAUCUUUUCCUCGAUUCGGGAUUUGAACUGGUGACUUGGGACACCAUAAAAUUAUCCAAAGUGGAGACUCUGAAUUUUUUUUAAUAAAAUGAUCCUCGAUUCGGGAUUGUCACUUUAAUUUGGAAAAAACUCCUUUAUACCCUCUUCGGGGGUGUACGAAAAAAGGAGGUAUGACAGCUCUGGCGACUCUGCUGGGGAACGAGCCUACAAUCUCUGGUUCAGGGUUUAGAAUUCGAACUUAGAUGAAUUGUUAUAUUUGGCUUUAUAUAUUAUUUGAUUUUAUUAUAUAUUUGGGCUUAAUGUGCUAAAUGUUGCUUUUACCGCUUUGAUAUUAUUUGAACUGUAUAUAAACUUCUACGAAACCCUUUUCUUCUCAUAUUCGGGGAUGUGCACGCUGGCGUGACUCCCUAUUCUGUUAGUGUCAUACCUUGAAAUAAGAAAGAGGCUCAGACAAGUUACUAAACCGGAUGGCAUUUUGGUUCCUAGUACGUAGCCCCCUCCUCGACUCGAGUUAUCCGCUCGGGUGCACAAGUCUAGAACAAUAUACCCAGGUUUUAUACUUUGAAUAACUCAGCCUCAUGUCGGAUCCCUAAUAGGAAUGUUUGUUUGCAUCAUGUGCAUUUGACUUUGGAGACUCAACACAAGGGUUGGGUCUAUCUAGGACAGGUGUACCCGAAAUGAAAAGACCAUACUGAUGCAUCCUACUUGCUACUUGUGCAUUCAUUUGCUUCAGAUUUGCAUGUUGACCGGCUUAUCAAAUAAUAGGAGAAAAGUUGAGAGUCAAUGUGAGGGCUGAGAGAGGUAAUUUCCUGUUUUUGAAAAAAACUGAUGUCCCAAAAUAUACUGACACUCUGCCAAAAUUUUGAAGAAAAAAAAAGAAGAAAAAAAAUUUUGUUUAAAAAAAAUAGUUAGUUUUUGUUUUGUCAAAACUGCUCAAACUACACCAGUUUGAUUCUCACCGGAUGUGGGAUACGUAGGCAACCCCCAUCAGGUCCAACUUCCUUUUUGCAAAAACAUCCCAAAAAGAACCAAAUUUUAUUACUUUGUUGUAAGUAAGUAAGGUGAUGUCAUUCUUGUCGAAAAUAGCUAAAUGUCCCCUAAAGGACGCCGGAAGGCUCUUUUUGCAAGAACAUCCACCUUUGGUCUCUUUUUAAAAUUUUUGGGCCGGCUAGCAAGCCCAACCUUAAAAUCUUCUCCCCCGAAGUGCCGAAAGGCUGUAUUUGCAAAACCAGGUUUUGUUUUUGAAAUAAAAAUUUGAAAAAAAAAUAGUGUUAACUUUUCUUGAGUCAAAUGAGUCAUGAUUUUUCUUAAUCACCCUAAUAAACGUGCAGAAUGAGCACGAGCCAAAAUUUGCCAAUAACAGUCAUGAACAAGAUCCCUUUGGAGCUGUAUAUGUGGUGGAAAGAUUUGGGCAAAUCCGGGCAAGAUAGGGUCAAUCUCUACUAGGGGUGUCACACCGAGUUAUUGAAGAUCAGUCCUAGAGGAGACAUCAUAAAGGCGUUGGUUACGUUCUGGGACCCGGCUCACAACGUGUUUCAUUUCUCAAAUUUUGAACUCACACCAACUUUGGAAGAAAUAGCUGGAUAUAUUGGGAGCACUGAAGUUCCUCUAAGACACAAGUAUUUGAUUGCUCCAAGAGUGGUCGUUGUGCACAGGUUCCUAGAUUUCUUAAGAUAAGCAGGGGGUCCACAACCAAGAUUUGGCAACUGGUUUUUCCACUCUGCAGUUCAUAUACCAACGAUACUGACACAUAGGGUGGUUUAACAAUCCAGAAAGCAAAAUUUGCAGCAAAGGGAAUCGCCUCAAAUGGGAAGAACACAGGUGCUUUGCUUUUAUGGUGGUAUUCUUGGGUCUUGUAGUGUUUUCCAAGAAAUAUGGGAAUAUCGAUAUGCGGAUAGCUGGGGUCUUCAGCACUUUGCUUAGUCAUGCCAAAAGCACCCUCGCACCCAUGAUAGUGUCUGAAAUCUUUUGCGCUCUCACAACCUACAAAGCUGGAGGAGACUUUUUUGAAGGGUGCAACUUGCUGCUACAAAUAUGGAUAAUUGAACAUCUACGUCAUCAUCCACAAUACAUGAACUAUGGGUCAACAGAGAAAACUGCAUAAAGGAGUUUUAUACAAAGGUUGACGGUUUUAGAAUGCCGGAAGGGGUCACAGAAUGGAUAUCACGUCUCCAUUCUGUCACUGCAAAUCAAAUAGAAUGGACGUUCGGGUGGCUUACUAUAGAUGAAAUCAUAUACAUGCCAGCUACCAGGCCCCACUUCCUCCUGAUAGGUCUCAGAAGUAUCAAGCCUUAUGCCCCAUACCGGGUUUUGAGACAGCUGAGGAGAUGUCAAAUAGUUCCAAAGGAUGAAGACCUUAGCGCUCAGGUAGUCGAGAUUGGUUCUAACGGUCAAUUUCAUGAAGCAGUAGUUCGCCAGAUCUGAAAUGAGUGUCAAUACUUGACAGCAAACACCCAAGUGCGUGAUUUAUCUUGAGGUGAAGUUUCACCAGGGUACCUUGCUUGUAAUAAAAGGGAAGUUGAGUUUGGAAGGCCGGCCAAAAGAACCCAUCUUCAAGAAUUUAUCGAGGCGUCACAAGCGCAAUGGGAUUGGUUGGCCAAAGAAAAUGAGUAUAGGGCUACCAUAAGCAAGCUGGAAAAGCAAGUCAAGGAUCUUCAAUUCGAGAAUGGUUUGCAAGCCUCCAUGGGUGAGGGCGAAAAGGAAAAGUUAGCCAAAGAAAAUGAGGCCCUUCGAGCCAGAUUCGGGAAAUGAAAAUAGCAGCCAAAACCCCCACAAGAAGUGCAAAGAUGAAAAGCUUAUAAAUAACCUUAGGCAGAAGGUGAGUGAGUAUGGUUUUGAUUUGAAUAAGGCCGAGGGUGAACUAGCAAAGGAUCGAACAAAAUUGGCUAAGAAUGCGAAGGAACGAGCGCGCUUGGUUAAACAGUUAAAAGAGAGAUAUGGCAAUGAGGUCGUGGGGUUGAAGAAAAAGAUCACCAUCUUUGAGAACAAAAAUGAUCAAGCAGGAAAAAGACUUUAAGGCAGAAAGAGAACACUGUUAUGCAGUGAUGGAACAGUUUGAAAGAGAUCUGUAACAACUUCAAGAAUAGAAUCAUAUAGCUGAACAAACUUUGGAAGCUAUGGGCCUAACAGAUUGGGCAUUUGUUGCAAGAAAAGGGCAUCAUAAGAGAAAGGGUCGGAAGGAUUGCCGACUACAUCACAAUGAAAUGUAGUGAGUGUGAGGACAUGACCAGAUCCAUGUUCUUCGACACUAUUAUGACAUUUGUCUCCCAGAUAAUGGAAGAUCUCUAUCAUCUCCAAGGGGAUUUAACGCGUAUGCCCGUAGAGAGAUCGAAUGAUGUCCCGAGGGCCCCAGGAGCAGUUGAGGCAUUGAUGUAUUCAUCAUUUUUGUUGGAGUCUGUUAGUCUAUUUUCGAGUCUGUAUUUUCAUUUUUCUAUUGGAGUUUGUGAGUCUGUUUUCGAGUAUGUAUUUUUAUUUUUUUAGAGUCUGUCAAUUCCUUUUUCUUGAGUCUGUUAGUUUUUAUCAUUAAAAUUGGUAGGAUGGGUCGUUGUAGUCAAAACGUUUAUUCUAUGAAAAAAUUUGAAAAUCCCAAAAUAUUUUAUUAUUUACUUUUACACUUAUCCCCCAGAACUACGCUUGGUCUGAUUUAUGCGCGGUCAUGAUACGCAGACAAUCUCCAUAGGAUUCGAUCCUAACCAAAAGAAAAAAAAAGAAAAGAAGAAGGAAGGAAAAAAAGGGAAAAAAACAAGAAAGAAAAGAAAAGAAAAAGAGAGAGAAGGCAAGAAACUGUGGGAAGGAAUCAAUGGAAAAACAAGAGGGAGAAAUGAGAGAAUAAAGAGCAACGAGAAAUCAAGCAAAGAAAGGCAUGAGUGAAAAAAAAAGCGGAAGAAGUUGCAAAUGAAAAUUAGGGAAAGUCGGGAUGACGCAAGCAACCGAUCAAAUGCAUAAUAGAAAUGGUUAACUGCAUAGGUGCAUUGCAUCCCCAAUGUGUGGUUGUCUAUCUGUUAAAUUCCCUAACGCUAACGGGAUGACCCCAUUUUGUUCCUUUUGAAAUCUUUAUAGCAGAAAGGUGGUUGGUUUGUGGUUCUCAAAGUAGUAACUCCUCUCUACAACAUAAAGUCAAAAGGCAAUGGCAGACAACAACAAAACUGAGUUGGUUAAUACAGGUACCCAAAAGCAAUUGGUCGAACAGGACAAUGGGUUGGUUGAAGAGGUGAGGAUGUUAAGACAACACAUGGUGGACAUGUAUCAGGCCUGGAUGACUGGGAAGGCACCACCCCCGCCACCACCUAGAUUCUUAGAUGCUACCCUUACCCAAACUCCGGUCAUAGUGCCGGAUGAUCCCCCAUACUCUCCAGAUUCACCCGCUUAUCAUGGCUUUCCCAACCACCCUAGUAGCUUCAUCACUCAUCCUCCAAUUACCUCUCCCCAAAAUUGUCCUCCUGUCAUAUCCACUAUCCCUAACAAUGAAUACCCACUCAAUGUUCAUGACACCCAAUACUACCUCACAGAGGUCGCCCACAAGGUUCCUCACUCAUACAAGAAGAGCCCUCGGGAUGAGCUUCAUGCUGAACAUGAAAAUGUCACAGGAAAAGAAGGGCGAGAUGAGAUAUCCAGGAAGCUUAAAAGUAUAGAACAGUCCUUAAAGAACAUGCAAGGGAUGGGAGGCCAGGUUAACAUGUCUUACAAAGAAUUAUGUAUGUUCCCUGACGUUCUCCUACCCGCGGGGUUUAAAGUGCCAAAGUUUAACUUGUAUGAUGGGUGUGGAGAUCCGGUAGCCUAUAUGAGGGGUUAUUGUAGUGAAAUGAGAAGUGUUGGCGAGAAAGAUGAUUUGUUGAUGGCGUAUUUUAGUGAGAGCUUGACUGGGGCAGCUUGGGAAUGACAUAAUCAUCAAGAUGUCAGUAAGUGGCAUACAUUGGGUGACAUGGCUCAAGAUUUUGUGCGACACUUUCAGUAAAAUAUAGACAUUGUCCCAGACCACUCCUCCCUAUCUCAGAUGGAGAAGAAACCCAAGGAAGGUUUUAGGGAUUUUUGGAUCAGAUGGAACAAACAAGUUGCUUGGGAUAGUCCUCCUAUUGAUAGAAAAGAUGUUGUUGAGCCCCAACGACGAUAGGGUCCAGUGGUCGUUCUUCCUAAAUGUUUUCAGCCUCAAUAUCGACCACGCGGAUAUCCUUGUAAUUCUCCCUACUGCUACUUCUCUCCACAGAACCCCCAAAAUCGUACAUCACUUCCACGAUACCCCGUCCACAAUGCACCGCCAUAUGCUCCACAUCCACGAGGCCCGUGAUGGCCAACACCACUUCCACAAAUGUUUUACACGCCCCCUCAGGCAUAUCAACCACAUACCCGCAAAAGGUUCUAACCGAGGCUAGAGUAUAAAAUGAAAAGACUACUGAAAAAAGAAAAUGCUUUCACCCCUAUUAGAGAAUCGUAUGCCAGUCUGUUCCAAAGGUUGAGGCAAUUGGACAUGUUGAAGCCGAUUCAGAUAAAAAUGCCAAACCCUCUUCCAAAGAAGUUUGAUUUUUCUCAAAGGUGCGCAUAUUGCUCAGAUGCCCCGGGGCAUGACAUAGAAAAGUGUUGGCAUCUGAAAGGAGCAGUCCAGAAGCUUAUUGAUGCAAGUGACAUUACCGCACAAAAUCCAAAUGCAGCAGAUACUAGCCAAACUCCAUUUCCUGAGACUCAUAUGGAGGACAUGAUUUGUAUGGAAAAAAGAAUAUGAGAACUAUUCUGAGAUCCUCGGAGGGCCAGUUGCCGCAAAGCUUUCAGUGCUAUCACUCUUGGUUCCAAAAGUUGAUCAUAAGAACAAGCCGGCCAAAGGGACGCAAAAGCAAUUUGCUAAGGACAAUGAGAUGAAAACUUGCGAAGGUUCUAGCAAUUUUGAUGUUGAACUCAGUGGCUAAGAAGCAGAGCAUGGUAAUUGGAAAGACAUUCCUCUCUUGGCUAGCUGGGGAGGAGUCUUGGCGGUUUAUUUUGUUGUCAUUUCUAUUGUUCGGGUUAUUUUCAGGGUUGUAAUCCGGAUAUUGUCUUGUGACUCAAACCCUUCUAUACUUUUAUUUUGCCUUGUUUGUUUAGUCGUAGUAGCUCUUUUAGUGUUGUCUAGGUUGGUUCCAGGGUUGUAACCCCAAUUUAGUUUGCUUGUUUUGUUGUUCAAACCCUUUCACCGUCUGUCUAAUGCAAUUUUCUGUUUUCUGUUAUUUCUAGUCAUUUUUGGUUAGUUCUCUCUUCUUUUUAUAGUCCUUUUCCUAUUGACUCUACUGACAUGACAUGCACGUGUAACUCUCAGCCUGAUUUAAAAAAGUUAGUUUAAUCGUGAAGCAAUUUGGGAAAUGAUAUGGACAUUUGAGGGAAAUAAGUGAAGGGAUUUUGAGAUCACAAAGACCAAAUUGUGUGAAACUAGGGUAGAUAGAACAUAAAGAAACACUAUUGAAAUGCAUCCUACCACAUCAAGCUGAAGUUAAAGGCAAGUUUGCCCCAAAUUGGCAGGGGCCGUGUUGGUAAUGAGACUGUUGUCCACUGGUGCUUUGUAUUUAACAGAUGUAGAAGGAAAAUGUGUGGAUAUGGCUAUCAAUUCUGAUGUAGUCAAAAGAUAUUAUGUAUAAUUUCUUUAGUUUGUUUAUUUGUGGUGUUUGUACUUGGCAUGUUUUGAAGAUUGGAAUGACGAAGACAUUUUGUUCUGCUAUCUAAACAUUUUAUCCUUUGUUAUCCCUUCGAGACUUAUUUAAUUUCUUUCUUAUCCCUCUGUUAGAAUCAAAAGCAGAGUUUAGAAAUAUGAUAAAGAAAAAAGGAGAGAAAAGAAAAAGAAAAAGAANNNNNNNNNNNNNNNNNNNNGACUUCAAAAUUUAUCACCAACUUUCCAAAUUGCACAAAACGAGAUCUGGAUAGCACAUCAAAGUGGCAUAAGUCAGGAAAGAACAACAUGCGCACUGAGUUAGUAACAAUCAACAUGCUUUGGGGUUCAUGUGAAAUACAAAGGUUUGGUAUAUAUCAAUUCAUGAACAAUGCAACAGAUGGAGGCUUAGGGUGAACGGAUCAAAGGCAUUUUCUAUGAUAUGAUUGACAAAGAGAGUGGUUAACCAGUGACAAGCAAGGUCUUCCAAGCAGAAAUCAAAGUUAUCAUGGCAAGUGAUGGAGCAAUAGACCUCAAGGCCAAGGCCAGUGAUUUAAGUCAGGAAAGAACAGCAUGUGCACUGGGUGGAUGGCAAUUGAUGUGCUUUGGGAUUCAUGAGAAAAACAAAGGUUCAUUACAUAUCAAUGCAAAAGCACAAUGCAACAGAUGAAUGGUAUUGGGUUUGAACGGAUUAGAGGUAUUCUCCAUGAUAAAGGUGAUAGAGAAAAAUGGUCAGUCAAUAAACAAGAAAGGUCUUUCGAGUUGAAAUCGAAGCUACCACAUGAAGUGAAGAAGCAAUCGCCCUCAAAGUUCAAGGCCAUAAACCAACCACCAUGUUUAAAGUGACAAGAUUUUUCUUUAAUUUGAAAUAGGGGCAAAAAAAUUUGUUUGUUUCAGAGAAACCCUCCGUAAGGAAAAGCAAGAACCAGAUCGGUUUGACCAUAAAUUCUCAGGACCCUCCUGGAUAAUGGGACCUAGUUUUAAAUUCCAAACAAUCAUGAGUAGCAAGAUCUAGCAUAAAUGUACCCCCAAAAAAAUAUAAGUUGGUUUCAAAGUUUUCAUUCUUGAGAUAGGAUUCAAUUAGGAGUUGUCAGAACCCUCCUGAAUAAUGGGACCUAGCUUUAAGAUUUCCAUUAGAUAACAAUAUUUAGCGUAAGUACUGCUGUAGUGUGGUAUAAUUCAGCCGUAAAAGUUGUCACUCUUAAAAUAAGACUUGAUUUUUGAUUUUCAGGACCCUCCUAGAUAAUGGGAUAUAACUUUAAGAUUUUCUUAGAUAUCACCUUUAGAAGAUAUAAUUUAGCUUUAGAACUGUCAUUGGGAUCUAGCUUUCAAAUUCUUAGUGAUAUUUGGUAACAUGAAUCAGUUAACACUAACAGAUGUGCCCAGCUACCAAAUUGGGGUAGAAAUUCUCUUUAUUUUGUCUAUUUUGUUGAAGUCAGGAGCCCACCUGGAGAAAAAAGCAAAUCAAGCGUCGGUAAUCAGGAGCCCACCUGAAGAACAAAGCAAAUCAAGCAUCGGUAAUUAGGAGCCCACCUGGAGAACAAAG